CUCCUUCCAGUGUCUGUGCCACGAAGGCUAUGAGAACACGCCUGAUGGGAAGAACUGUGUUGAUAUCAAUGAGUGUGUGAGUCUGCCUGGCACCUGCUCUCCGGGAACCUGUCAGAAUCUGGACGGAUCCUUCAGAUGCAUCUGUCCUCCUGGCUACGAGGUGCAAAAUGACCAGUGUAUCGAUAUCGAUGAGUGUGUGGAUCUCAGCCUCUGCCAGUUUGGGACCUGCACCAACACCCCGGGCAGCUUCCAGUGCUCGUGCCAGCCGGGCUUCGUGCUCUCUGACAACAAACGACGCUGCUACGGUGAGAGAAGCUGUCGAGUACAAUCGAGGCACUU
rnacentral:lncRNA from 1 species